UCCUAUUGGGCCGUUUCCGCGGCAGCCGGUGGGCCCAACGAGCCUCACGUUGCGCCUGCGCCACGUUACGUGCUUCCGGCUCCUCGGGGGGGUCGCGCGUCUUCUUGGCCCUUCCUGCCACCGGCACCAGGCUGCUUCCCGUGUCGCCCCUGCUGGGGCGCAAACCGUGGCGAUCCGGCCUCCCCGCGCGGCCGCUGGACGUUCGCAACAAUCCAGCGGGCCGUCCGCAGGUCGAUGAGGAUAAAAGAGUGCAGUAUAGGGGCUCCUGGGGGCUCAGUUGGUUAAAUGUCGGACUUUGGCUCAGUGUCCACCUCUGCGUUGACAGCGUGCAGCCUGGAACCUGCUUAGGAUUCUGUCUCCCUCGCUCUCUGCCCCUCCCCCCCCC